rnacentral:rRNA from 1 species
GACGAACGCUGGCGGCGUGCUUAACACAUGCAAGUCGAACGGAAAGGCCCUGCUUUUGUGGGGUGCUCGAGUGGCGAACGGGUGAGUAACACGUGAGUAACCUGCCCUUGACUUUGGGAUAACUUCAGGAAACUGGGGCUAAUACCGGAUAGGAGCUCCUGCUGCAUGGUGGGGGUUGGAAAGUUUCGGCGGUUGGGGAUGGACUCGCGGCUUAUCAGCUUGUUGGUGGGGUAGUGGCUUACCAAGGCUUUGACGGGUAGCCGGCCUGAGAGGGUGACCGGCCACAUUGGGACUGAGAUACGGCCCAGACUCCUACGGGAGGCAGCAGUGGGGAAUAUUGCACAAUGGGCGGAAGCCUGAUGCAGCAACGCCGCGUGCGGGAUGACGGCCUUCGGGUUGUAAACCGCUUUCGCCUGUGACGAAGCGUGAGUGACGGUAAUGGGUAAAGAAGCACCGGCUAACUACGUGCCAGCAGCCGCGGUGAUACGUAGGGUGCGAGCGUUGUCCGGAUUUAUUGGGCGUAAAGGGCUCGUAGGUGGUUGAUCGCGUCGGAAGUGUAAUCUUGGGGCUUAACCCUGAGCGUGCUUUCGAUACGGGUUGACUUGAGGAAGGUAGGGGAGAAUGGAAUUCCUGGUGGAGCGGUGGAAUGCGCAGAUAUCAGGAGGAACACCAGUGGCGAAGGCGGUUCUCUGGGCCUUUCCUGACGCUGAGGAGCGAAAGCGUGGGGAGCGAACAGGCUUAGAUACCCUGGUAGUCCACGCUGUAAACGGUGGGUACUAGGUGUGGGGUCCAUUUCACGGGUUCCGUGCCGUAGCUAACGCUUUAAGUACCCCGCCUGGGGAGUACGGCCGCAAGGCUAAAACUCAAAGGAAUUGACGGGGCCCCGCACAAGCGGCGGAGCAUGCGGAUUAAUUCGAUGCAACGCGUAGAACCUUACCUGGGUUUGACAUGGAUCGGGAGUGCUCAGAGAUGGGUGUGCCUCUUUUGGGGUCGGUUCACAGGUGGUGCAUGGCUGUCGUCAGCUCGUGUCGUGAGAUGUUGGGUUAAGUCCCGCAACGAGCGCAACCCUUGUUCACUGUUGCCAGCACGUUAUGGUGGGGACUCAGUGGAGACCGCCGGGGUCAACUCGGAGGAAGGUGGGGAUGACGUCAAGUCAUCAUGCCCCUUAUGUCCAGGGCUUCACGCAUGCUACAAUGGCUGGUACAGAGAGUGGCGAGCCUGUGAGGGUGAGCGAAUCUCGGAAAGCCGGUCUCAGUUCGGAUUGGGGUCUGCAACUCGACCUCAUGAAGUCGGAGUCGCUAGUAAUCGCAGAUCAGCAACGCUGCGGUGAAUACGUUCCCGGG